UACGUAGGGUGCGAGCGUUGUCCGGAAUUAUUGGGCGUAAAGAGCUUGUAGGCGGUUUGUCGCGUCUGCUGUGAAAAUCCGGGGCUCAACCCCGGACUUGCAGUGGGUACGGGCAGACUAGAGUGUGGUAGGGGAGACUGGAAUUCCUGGUGUAGCGGUGAAAUGCGCAGAGUAUCAGGAGGAACACCGAUGGCGAAGGCAGGUCUCUGGGCCACUACUGACGCUGGAGAAGCG
rnacentral:rRNA from 1 species